ACGCUCGACACCUACAGGCAGCAGUGGGGAAUAUUGCACAAUGGGGGAAACCCUGAUGCAGCGACGCCGCGUGGAGGAAGAAGGUCUUCGGAUUGUAAACUCCUGUUGUUGGGGAAAAAGAGGAUGGUACCCAACAAGGAAGUGACGGCUAACUACGUGGCAGCAGCCGCGGUAAUCUGAGCGGGCUGGCAAGGC
rnacentral:rRNA from 1 species